CACGUAGGGGGCAAGCGUUGUCCGGAUUUAUUGGGCGUAAAGGGCGCGUAGGCGGCCUGCUAAGUCGAACGUGAAAUCCCCGGGCUCAACCCGGGAACUGCGUCCGAUACUGGCAGGCUUGAAUCCGGGAGAGGGAUGUGGAAUUCCUGGUGUAGCGGUGGAAUGCGCAGAUAUCAGGAGGAACACCAAUGGCGAAGGCAGAUCUCUGGGCCGUAACUGACGCUGGAGGAGCGAAAGCAUGGGGAGCGAACAGG
rnacentral:rRNA from 1 species